rnacentral:lncRNA from 1 species
CUUUCCAAGCUCACUAAGAAGUGAUUUUGGCAAAUGAAAAUCAUACAGGAUCAUAAAAGAAAUUUAGAAUAAAAGGAGAAAUAUCAUAGCAUCAGCUCUAUUGGAAAUAAUCUGGAACAGAAAUAUUUUCAUAUAUAAACUGGAUAAAAUGUCUCACUAAGACUCAUUGUGGUCAUAAGAUACCAAGUUUACAAUUCUAGGGUUUUGUAACCUCUGUUUUUGAGAUGUGUCCAGUAGCCUGCCUCUGGGUAGACCUCGCUUAUCAGAAAAGGGAUUUUUAUAUCCACCUGUUCCAACAUUAAAGAAAUAAUAGCAGUAAAGUUUUGACUUGGGUCUAUCCGGAAACUCUUUGGUAUGUUCAGGAGCAAAGUCAGAGUGUGGGCUGUGUGGGUGAGCGAGGAGGGAGUAGGAGGCAGCUAGUGCAAAAUGAAACUUAAAGGAUGGAAACCUUUGGAAAUCUCCAUUCCAGACGCAUGCUGUACCAGAUUAGUGAUGUGUGGGCCACUCAGGAAGGGUGGAAAGACUCCCAGCCAAUCCCCUCGACUGCAUAAAUGAAACCAUGCAACCUUCUCUGAUGCUCCUACCACCCUCUAGUGUUAUUUCCUGGCAGGAAAGGGCUGAUAAAGGACAAGCUUUGAAAAUUAUACUGUUGUUGUAGAGAGAAAACUGUGGACAAGCAAUGUUAGAGCUGCAGGGAGGUGGUGGGGGCAGAGGAAAGAACAUCUGGGGGCCAUACAUGACAUUGCGGCAGAUUUAUUCCUCACUGAGCCUGCUGUUGUAUCAUUUUACCCUUCCAGAAAAUGGAGAUAAAGUGCUCACUUAUUAUACCUUACCAAGGGAAGCUUCAUACAUUAAUGUAAAAUAUUUUGAAAAUGUCACAUAAAAUCUAUUAUAGAAAUACAAGAUGUUACUAGUGAUUUUUCUCUGCCAGGAUAGACUAGAGGGGAAUGAAAUAGUCUCCAAUAGGAAUGGAAUUGUAGUUUCUAGCCCCCCUUGCUGGACAAGCAAUGUAAAAACAUCCCUCCAUUCCUUCGCCUUCCAGCUGUUCAGCAGAUGUUAGUGGGAGAGAAAGAAGGUUGGGGCUGAGCAACUGGUCUGGCACAGUGUUAGAAGUCUCAUUCACAGCCUUAUUUCCAGAGAGCUCACUUGGUCCCCACUUCUGUUGCAAGUACUUAGGCAAGGAGCUGGCCUAAGUAAUUUCUCUGCCUUCCUCCAAGCAAAGAAAAGAGAAAUAAUUAAGUUCAUUGAUAAACAAUAAUAAAUUCCCAUUUUUAAAAAGUAUGCCAUGGUAUUUUCCCCUCAUGGCAUUUUGACAACUUGUCUAUGAAAUUUUGUAUCCACGUUCAGAUAAACAGCCUCUAGUGGAGUGGCAGCUUUAACACAGUAGAAGGAAAGGGAUGGAAGGCAAUCACAUCUAACCAAAAACCAUGGGGAGCACCACAGUCAGCAGGAUGUAAUUACUGGAAUGGAAAUGUGUGGCUAGUACAUUUGGGCUUUAAUGACUCACGUGAUCUUAGGAACCCUAUCAUCCCUUCUUUGAUAAUGACACAGUCACACUUAGUAAGAGAGACCCAUAUAGGAUGCUUUAAAUGGGGGCUCUCCUCUCUUCUUGGCCACCUCUUGCAUGUCUAAAAGAGGUUAGUGAAUCGACCCUUUGAAGGACAUUUGGAAGGCAGCAGACGCAGCUUGAACGUUGGGUUGUUGUUUUUUAAUGGACUUGUCAGCAGCUAUUCUCAUUUGCAAUAGAAUUCCUUUUCUCCCUUACCCUUUCGCAGGUUGGUGUUUUCCCAGUGCUGUGCCAAUGCUGAAUAAUUUACAAGGGUAGAAAAAGAAAACUGUCACUAUCACAGUCCCAGGGCUCUCCACUCACUCAUCUGUCACAUGGUCAAAUGUCACUGGUGCCAUUAUUUGUGAGGGGUGAGAUUAAUGCAGCAGAGCUCCUUGCCUCCUUUCUUUAUCUAUUGUUAAUGGUAUUGAACUCCAACGUGGUUUUUUUUUUUUUUUUCUUUUUUAAAGAGCUGGUUGCCAUUUCUGCAACAAAUGUCCCACCUAAGGAAACCCAAAUAAUGGAUCUCCUUAUUCCAUCUCACCCUUUCAUCUGCCUUCAUCUGUUUCUUCUUAUCUGGCCUUUCCACCCACAGCAUAAAAAUACAGAUCUAGUUAGAACUGUAUUCGGAAGAAAUUCCAGUGUUCAAAGUGAUCCCAGUUGUUGAUUUUGUUCCUUAUUAGGAAAGAGAGAGGGAGAGAAAGCCCAUCUGGUUGCAGGAAUCAGGAGUCACAGUGACUCAUAGAAGGAGCUGAGGAAAGAUCCCCUGCACACACAGGGCACUUUGCAGAAGGAGAAUUGAGGCCACGGCUCUCCAAGGAAUUACCAAAGUGCAAAAAUAUGAGGAUUAACAUUUUUAUUUCCCUUACCAAAAGGGUAAAAUACCAGUAUUAAUUAUAUACUAGAAAAGGAUAAAAAAAUAUGAAAUAAUAACAAACAUCUAAUUUUAAUAUACUAGAGAAAAUUAAUGCCAUAUAGUUAGAUGCUGAUAUUGACCUGUGAAUAGUUAUGACUGUUUGCUAAGCAUGGACAGAAGAGCACCCAUCCCUGACUGAAGAGGCCCUGCAAAGAAUGAUGUAAACAUUUAGUUCCCAUCUUUCACUGUCUCAGAUGUGAAUAUACAAUAGCCACAAUAAUAAUGAUAGUUAAUAUCAACUGAGUAAUGAGUGCUCUAAACAACAAGGUCCUCCCGUAUAUUUAUAGCACAGGGAACUAUAUUCAACAUCCUAUGAUAAACCAUAAUGGAAAAGAAUAUUUUUAAAAAGAAUGUAUCUAUGUGUAUAACUGAAGCAUUUUGCUACGCAGCAGAAAUUAACACACUACUCUAAAUCAACUGUAUUUCAAUUAAAAAAGAAAUUUAAAAAUACAAGUGUUCUAAAUGUAUUAUUACUCUUAAUUUUCAUAAAUAUUGCUACUAUUAUAAUUUUCAUUAUAUAGAUAAGACAACCAAGGCACAGGAAGUUUAAGUAAAUGGUUAAAUCACAUCAGUGGGCCUGAGAUUAGUCCAUAGGGUAGGACACUACUUACUUUUGAAAAUGUGUAUCUAAUGCAUACUGAAAUGCAGGGGAAAAACUGAAAAAUUUCAUUUACUCUUAUAAGCUUGGGUCACGUUAACAAGCUUACAAAGGCGACACCAUUAGUUUCUCCCUCUCUUCCUUUGAGUGCCAAUUGACUGAAUUAAAUGCUUAAGAAUUAACUUGCUCCUGGCCUGUUGAGUGAGCUAAUUUGAAGUGACUACAAUUUAUCUGCUUCUUGCUCUUGUUCAUGACUUAUGAUUGGAUCGUGUCUCUGGUUAAUUAACAGGUAGGCUACGGGCACAAGGGAUCCUGUCCCAAGUUGUCUUCUCAUCCUUUAGCACUUCUUUGUGUUUCCUUUUGGUUUGCUUUGGGGAAAACCCUGAUAUCUCAUCUUAUGUGAUACAUUAAAACAGUGGAUAAAAACACAGUGCAGCUCUGAUCUCAUUAACUGCCUUCGAAGGGCAGAGAGGAAUUGAGGAGAUCUGCUAUCUAAAUCACUGCCAGCAAAUAAGUGCUCUCAAAGAGCUACAAAGGCAAAAUCCCCAAGGAUCCUACAAUAAAGAAACUUGGGUCAACUGAGAAGUUGUUUUUUCAGUGUAGAAAGUGAUCUGGAGCAUCAGGCUUGACCCUGAACACACAGGUAACUUCCAAAUGCCAAAUAAAAACCUGAAGUCUCAGGGUAAAGCUCUAUCUCUUUAAGGGAGAGAUAGAAGGAAACUUCUAUCUCUCCCUUAAAGGAACAGAGAGGGGCAGCAAUGCGAUCAAUUGGGAUGUUAUCAGGCCUAUGAGCAAACGGAUGCUGCAUGUUCAAAGGGAGACUGCCAGGGACAGAGAUCACACACGGGACCACUAAGGAAUCAUUUCUGGAGAUCUCUGUUGUGCUGAUGGUGAUGCAAUGUGACCAAACCAGACAGGAAGUUAGCAUUGUACAGACACAAGGAAAGAUGAAUACAGGUGCAUGGCAAUUAAACAAAUGCUAAAAAGUGGUUUUUCCUUCAUAUUUAACCAAUCUCUUCUAAUUCUAGAUACUUAGAACAUAAAAAGAGCUUGGAAAAGUGGUUGUGCAAAGUCAUCUUAGGAAACCACUAGCCUUUGCCUUUAAAAUUGCAUAUAGAUGUUCUUAGAGGGAAAAUGAGCCCAUUCUUAUAGAACUGACAAUUGCUGAAAACAAUUUUCAAAGUCUCUCUGUAUUCCCCCAUCCCUUUGAAGAACAAAAAUGGGCAAGGUGGGGCUUCUUGGGUAGUUUAACUAAAGAAUGAACCUUUUCUGGGAGUUCCCGUCGUGGCGCAGUGGUUAACGAAUCCGACAAGGAACCAUGAGGUUGAGGGUUCGGUCCCUGCCCUUGCUCAGUGGGUUAACGAUCCCGCAUUGCUGUGGCUCUGGUGUAGGCUAGUGGCUACAGCUCUGAUUCGACCCCUAGCCUGGGAACCUCCAUAUGCCACGGGAGCGGCCCAAGAAAUAGCAAAAAGACAAAAAAAAGAAUGAUCCUUUUCUAUGUGUUGUCCUACAAAACAUUACUGUUGUUAACAAUCCAGGCUAAAAACUUCAGAAAUCUAGAAGGGCUCUUGGAAGUGGAAUUUCUGAGAGCCCAGAAUGGCUAUGAUGCCUUGCUCUAUCAUCCAUAACUUCUCUUUCUUCUUGGCUUCUGAUAAAGUUUCUCUAGGAAUUCCUGCCGUGGCUUAGCAGAAACAAAUCUGACUAGUAUCCACGAGGACGUGGGUUCGAUCCCUGGCCUUGCUCAGUGGGUUAAGGAUCGGGCGUUGCCAUGAGCUGUGGAGUUGGUUGCAGACACGGCUUGGAUCUGGUGUUGCUGUGGCCGGGACAUAGGCCAGCAGCUACAGCUCCAAUUUAACCCCUAGCCGGGGAAUCUCCAUAUGCC